GAGUUUGAUCCUGGCUCAGGAUGAACGCUAGCGACAGGCUUAACACNUGCAAGUCGAGGGGCAGCGGGGGAGUAGCAAUACUCCCGCCGGCGACCGGCGCACGGGUGAGUAACACAUAUGGAACCUGCCCGCAGCAGGGGGAUAAGCGGAAGAAAUUCCGUCUAAUACCGCGUAACAACGACCGGAGGCAUCUCUGGUUGUUUAAAGGAGGCAACUCCGGCUGCGGAUGGCCAUGCGGCGCAUUAGCUUGUUGGCGGGGUAACGGCCCACCAAGGCGACGAUGCGUAGGGGUUCUGAGAGGAAGGUCCCCCACACUGGUACUGAGACACGGACCAGACUCCUACGGGAGGCAGCAGUGAGGAAUAUUGGUCAAUGGCCGAGAGGCUGAACCAGCCAAGUCGCGUGAGGGAUGACGGUCCUAUGGAUUGUAAACCUCUUUUGUCGGGGAGCAAAGGACGCCACGUGUGGUGUUUUGCGAGUACCCGAAGAAAAAGCNAUCGGCUAAACUCCGUGCCCAGCAGNCCGCGGUAAUACGGAAGGAAUGCGAGCGUUAUCCGGAUUUUAUUGGGUUUAAAAGGGUGCGCAGGGCGGAAUGUCAAGUCAGCGGUAAAAAUUUCGGGGGCUCAACCCCCGUCGUGCCGUUGAAAACUGGCGUUCUUGAGUGAGCGAGAAGUAUGCGGAAUGCGUGGUGUAGCGGUGAAAUGCAUAGAUAUCACGCAGAACUCCGAUUGCGAAGGCAGCAUACCGGCGCUCAACUGACGCUCAUGCACGAAAGCGUGGGUAUCGAACAGGAUUAGAUACCCUGGUAGUCCACGCAGUAAACGAUGAAUACUAAUUGUCCGGACCGAUUGAGGUCUGGGUGAUACAGCGAAAGCGUUAAGUAUUUCCACCUGGGGGAGUUACGCCGGCAACGGUNNAAACUCAAAAGGAAUUGACGGGGGNCCCGCACAAGCGGAAGGAAACAUGUGGUUUUAAUUNCGAUGAUACGCNGAGGAACCUUNACCCGGGGNUCAAACNNACGGAUGAAUUNUUUUUNAAAGGAGGCAGCCCUUCGGGGCAUCCGUCGAGGUGCUGCAUGGUUGUCGUCAGCUCGUGCCGUGAGGUGUCGGCUUAAGUGCCAUAACGAGCGCAACCCCCAUCGCCAGUUACCAGCAAGUAAAGUUGGGGACUCUGGCGANACUGCCGGCGCAAGCUGUGAGGAAGGCGGGGAUGACGUCAAAUCAGCACGGCCCUUACGUCCGGGGCGACACACGUGUUACAAUGGCAGGUACAGAGAGAAGCAAUGCGGCGACGCAGAGCGGAACUUCAAAGCCUGUCUCAGUUCGGAUUGGAGUCUGCAACCCGACUCCAUGAAGCUGGAUUCGCUAGUAAUCGCGCAUCAGCCAUGGCGCGGUGAAUACGUUCCCGGGCCUUGUACACACCGCCCGUCAAGCCAUGGAAGCCGGGAGUGCCUGAAGUGUGCAACCGCAAGGAGCUNNCCUAAGGUAAAACCGGUGACUGGGGCUAAGUCGUAACAAGGUAGCCGUA
rnacentral:rRNA from 1 species